rnacentral:misc_RNA from 1 species
GCCUUUUUAAGUUAGCAUGUUAUAUUCCGGAUUCUUGAAAGCAUGUUAUUGGUUUCCAAUGACACUCCCAUAAUUUACACAUUGUUCUGUCUAUAAAUAAAAACAGAAACACAUUUUACCACAACUUAAACAAGGUAAAUUAAAAAGUGAGAUGGAAACUGAUAAAUUAAUAAAGCCAAAUUCAAAAUGGAAAUAUUUCAGCUAACUUAAAAAGGCGUAAUGCUGUGUGAUUUUCAUGUUCCCAUAGAAGCAAAACCUUGUUCACCCACGCAAGAGGCAAUGGCAGUAUAUUCUUGCCUUCUCAGAGGCAGAAUUGAGGCACAAUGUUGAAGUAUGAUAUGAAUGGAAGACCUUGAUGCAGUUCUAACUGCUGUAAUCAAAGGCAGAAAGACUGCACCUUUUUCUGUGCCAUAUGCACUAAUUACAUACCUACAAGACAAAUAUCUAAGCAAAUCUGCGGUUUGCACCCAAAUUAAUUUCAACUCUUGACUCAUCAUGUUCGGAGCUCCCCUCCUUUGAAUCAUCAUUUUUCAGAGUUCCAUCUAAGCCUGCAGCAAAUUCUACAGCCUCUGAAAUCUCCACCUUCAGCUCUUCAUGCUUCUCCUUUAACUCUGACGAAUUAAUAGCUGCUGAGAGCCUUUGCUUUAUUUGUUGUUCUAAAGCCUCAAUUUUAUUUUUUGUUGCCACAUCAGGUUUCUUUCCUGCCUUUGCUACCUCCAGCUUCAGCAACUCAAUCAUGUUUUUAAGAUCUGAUGAGUUGAUUAGAUCUUCAAUUUUCUUGUUAGUUUGUUCCUUCAAACUUUCCACCCUAGCUCUGAAGUCUAGGAAAGGUGUCUGCUGACUGACUUCUUUCGCUUUUGAGCUGACAAUCUCAACAUCCAAACCCAUGGACUCAAGAAAAUUUGUCAAUUCCAGCUCUAUCUCUUUCCUCAUCUUCACAAUGCUCUCCUUUGUCUCUCCAUCUAAUUCGCCUUCAUUGGAAGCUCCUGACAUUCGAAGUUCAGCCUUUAAUGCUUCUACCUUCUCCCGAAUAUCAGGCCGAUCCAUGACCUCUUUAAGUUUCUUAUUAAUUUCCUCCUUCAAUUUCACACCUUUGCUGUUCUUUUCUGAGAUGCUCUUGGCUUUAGAAAACUCCUUCAACAUAUCAAGUUUAUAAUUAAGACUUGAAUAAUUAGGCGCUGCUGACAGGUUCUGAGUAAAUUCAUUCUUGAGUUUUUCAAUCUUAUCCAUUAAAAUUGGGUUCAUUAGUUGGUCCUGCAAAUUUGCUUUUAAAAACUCUUGCCGCAAGGUUUCAAACCUGUCCUUGUAGCCCAUGGAUUUAACAGCUUCAGAAAAUUCAAGAUCAAUCUCCCUUUUCAGCUUUUCAAUCAUCCCAUUCAAAGCCAACUCUGUAGGCUUGCUAGAUGAUUCCCUGGCUUUUGAAAUUUGCUGUUUCAGCUUUUCAACCUCACCCUCCAACUCUAGCACUGGAGUCUUUCCAGCAACAAUUUCUUCUUUCUUUUUCAUGUUGGUUUUUCUUUUAGGAUCGAUUGGGAUUCCCUCUUGAAACCCACCUAUUUUUCGGAACUUAAGCAUACGAUGUGUUAGUAGCUCUUGUGUGUCCAUAUUUGUGAGCUCAUCCAUAGCUUCAUUAAUUGCAUUCUUUAUCUGUUGUGAGGUCCAUGAUGGAUCUGCAUGUGCACCACCAAGUGGCUCAGGGAUGACACCAUCGGCAAUUUGCAACUUGCACAACUCAGGAGCGGUAAUCUUCAACUUUUCAGCAGCCUUUGGUGAAGCUUUGGCAGUCUUCCAUAAAAUUGCUGCACAUGCUUCAGGACUGGCAACAUAGAAAACUGCAUUUUCAAGCAUCAACAAUUUAUUAGCACAGCCAAUGGCCAAAGCACCACCAGAGCCACCUUCCCCAAUAACAAUAGAAACAAUUGGUACCUUCAGACCAAACAUUGUCCUCAAAUUAUGGGCAAUAGCUUCACCCUGGCCCAGUUCUUCAGAUUUAAGGUCUGCAAAUGCCCCAGGUGUAUCAAUAAAAGUAACUAUAGGAAACCCAUGGUGGUCUGCAUAAUACAUCAUGCGUAGGGCCUUUCGGUAGCCAUGGGGAGUAGGCAUCCCGAAAUUGCGCAUAAUAUUCUCUUUUGUGUUUCUACCUUUCUGUUGACCAAUGAACAUGUAUCUUCUACCAUCUAUGGUUCCUACACCAGUAACAAUAGCUGGAUCAUCAUAACCUGCUCGAUCUCCAUGAAGCUCCACAAACUUGUCAGUAAUGCUAAAUACAUGGUCAAGGAAAGUGGGCCUGUUAGGGUGUCGUGCAAUAUUCACACGUUGUAUAGGGGUCAAAUGCGUAUACAAAUCCUUUAGAGCCUGUUGAUAUUUAUUUUCUAGUGAAAUGAUCUGAUCAGUGAAGUCCAAACCAGUUUCAUCUGCCAUCUUCCGCACAUCAAUGAUCUUCUUCUCUAAAUCAACAAGUGGUUUCUCAAAAUCCAAAGUAACAGGUUUCGGCUUCUCUUUUAAAGGCUUGAAAGGAGAAAGAUGAGUGAGGACUCCGCCAGUCACAUUUGGAUCGGGAUUUUCAGGCCAAGGAUAUUCUUGCUUCUUCACUUUCCUAAUCUUGGCAACCACAGAAAAAUCCCUCGUUUUCGAGCUAAAUCUUGUUCUUCCCAGGGUCCUCAAGGGGAUGCCACUAACUCCGUUACCGGAGCUCCGUAGAAGAUCUGAAGCUGAAGUUCCACUGAAUGCAGCUGGAGAAUGCGAUACAGAAGCCAUUCUCCUAAUCCGAUAAUUACUAGCUUCAAAUUUCACAACAAAAUCUGCAAAUUAGAUCUUCAAAUUUCCAAAUUAAGGUUCAAGAGCAAUUGAAUCAGAAAUUGACAGAGAAAUUG